rnacentral:rRNA from 1 species
GAUGAACGCUGGCGGCGUGCCUAAUACAUGCAAGUCGAGCGAACGGACGAGAAGCUUGCUUUUCUUAUGUUAGCGGCGGACGGGUGAGUAACACGUAGAUAACCUACCUAUAAGACUGGGAUAACUUCGGGAAACCGGAGCUAAUACCGGAUAAUAUUUUGAACCGCAUGGUUCAAAAGUGAAAGACGGUCUUGCUGUCACUUAUAGAUGGAUCCGCGCUGCAUUAGCUAGUUGGUAAGGUAACGGCUUACCAAGGCAACGAUGCAUAGCCGACCUGAGAGGGUGAUCGGCCACACUGGAACUGAGACACGGUCCAGACUCCUACGGGAGGCAGCAGUAGGGAAUCUUCCGCAAUGGGCGAAAGCCUGACGGAGCAACGCCGCGUGAGUGAUGAAGGUCUUCGGAUCGUAAAACUCUGUUAUUAGGGAAGAACAUAUGUGUAAGUAACUGUGCACAUCUUGACGGUACCUAAUCAGAAAGCCACGGCUAACUACGUG